UGGGGAAUAUUGGACAAUGGGCGCAAGCCUGAUCCAGCCAUGCCGCGUGUGUGAAGAAGGCCUUUUGGUUGUAAAGCACUUUAAGCGAGGAGGAGGCGACUUGGAUUAAUACUCUAAGAUAGUGGACGUUACUCGCAGAAUAAGCACCGGCUAACUCUGUGCCAGCAGCCGCGGUAAUACAGAGGGUGCGAGCGUUAAUCGGAUUUACUGGGCGUAAAGCGUGCGUAGGCGGCUUCUUAAGUCGGAUGUGAAAUCCCUGAGCUUAACUUAGGAAUUGCAUUCGAUACUGGGAAGCUAGAGUAUGGGAGAGGAUGGUAGAAUUCCAGGUGUAGCGGUGAAAUGCGUAGAGAUCUGGAGGAAUACCGAUGGCGAAGGCAGCCAUCUGGCCUAAUACUGACGCUGAGGUACGAAAGCAUGGGGAGCAAACAGG
rnacentral:rRNA from 1 species